GAGGGUAUAGCUCAGUGAUAGAGUGUAUGCCUAGCAUGCACAAGGUCCCAGGUUCAAUCCCCAGUACCUCA
rnacentral:tRNA from 1 species